CCCUAAUAGUAUAACUAAUUACUUUGGUCUUGUAAACCAAAAAUGAAGUCUAAACCCUUCUUAGAGCAC
rnacentral:tRNA from 1 species